rnacentral:rRNA from 1 species
UACGUAGGGGGCAAGCGUUGUCCGGAUUUAUUGGGCGUAAAGCGCGUGUAGGCGGCCAUGUAGGUCUGACGUGAAAUUCCGAGGCUCAGCCUCGGCAGGUCGUUGGAAACCAUAUGGCUAGAGUCCGGAAGAGGAGAGUGGAAUUCCUGGUGUAGCGGUGAAAUGCGCAGAUAUCAGGAAGAACACCAACGGCGAAGGCAGCUCUCUGGGACGGUACUGACGCUGAGACGCGAAAGCGUGGGGAGCGAACAGG